rnacentral:rRNA from 1 species
UGCGUAGGCGGCUUUAUAAGUCAGAGGUGAAAGCCCACAGCUCAACUGUGGAACUGCCUUUGAUACUGUGGAGCUUGAAUUAGGUUGAGGUUAGCGGAAUGUGGCAUGUAGCGGUGAAAUGCAUAGAUAUGCCAUAGAACACCAAUUGCGAAGGCAGCUAACUAGGCCUUGAUUGACGCUGAGGCACGAAAGCGUGGGGAGCGAACAGGAUUAGAUACCCUGGUAGUCC